UWGGGAAGAACGAAUGGUUCCUCUUAUGAGGCUAGUUAUCUUGGAGAUAUAAUAAUGGUUAUAAAUUAAAUAUAUAGAUAUUUAAGAUCUAUUCCAUGUAGAAAUUAAAUAUAUAUAUAUAUAUUUAAUAUCUAACUAUCAAGUUUUAGAAAUUAUAAGUUAAAUAAAGAUAUUUAAUUUAUAAUAUAGAAAAUGUUUAUAUUUCAGUAAUAUAUUACUAAUAUUAGAAAUAAAAAUAUAGUAGGGUAUUCUAAUAAUAGGGAAGAGAUAAUACCGACUCCGUUUGGAUAAAAUUCUAGAUUUAUACCCUGAUUGAUAAUGACAAUCAUUUAAAUCUAAAUGUCUUGGCUAAAUUACGUGCCAGCAGCCGCGGUAAUACGUAGAAGACUAGUGUUGUUCAUCUUUAACAGGUUUAAAGGGUACCUAGACGGCGUUAUUAACAACCUAUAGUUAGGGGCUAUAGGGGGUUUAUUUUGCUAGAGUUUAAUAUGAGGAGGGGAGAACUUGUAGAGUAAAGAUAAAAUUUUAUCAUACUAUGAGGACUGAUAUCGGCGAAAGCGACCUUUUAUCUAAAAACUGACGUUGAGGGACGAAGGCUUGGGUAGCAAAUAGGAUUAGAUACCCUAGUAGUCCUAGCAGUCAAUUCUGAAUGCCAUAGACAAGAUAUUUAUUUGGUUUAUAAAUGAAAGUGUAAGCAUUCCACCUCAUGAGUAAUGUGGCAACGCAGGAACUGAAAUCAUUAGACCGUAUCAGAGAACAGUAGUGAUGUAUGUUAUUUAAUUCGAUGACCCACGAAAAACCUUACCACAACUUGAAUAUCUCCGUGACUAAGGGAAAAGAAAUAGCCCCUUAGAUUAGUACCAGGUAUAUUGUUGUAACACAUAUAUCAGGAAAUGUUGAAUGGCUGAAAUGUUGUAAUACAUUUAAAUGUAGAAAUACAUUUGGCACGGUGAUACAAGCGUUGCACGGUUGUCUUAAACUAAUGUCGUGAGAUCAUGGUUAGUUCCAUUAAAUUAGUGUAAACCCCGGCUUUAUUUUUAAAUACUGUGUGUGUAGGUGAUGAUAUGACCGGUGGGGGUCUAAUUAUUACUAUAAUCACCAUAGUCCUUUAUUUUUAUAAUAAGUAUGGUGAUAUCUUGAAGGGAUAUCAUCACUAGAAUUAUAUAAAUAAAAUAAUGUGAUAGAGCAGUUCUUCACCAGAUUGAAUAGAUGAUAA
rnacentral:rRNA from 1 species